rnacentral:rRNA from 1 species
CGCGCGUACUUCAAACAGGAAUGGGGUUAAAAUUUCUGAACCAGGACAUGGCGGUUAACAGCAUUAUUAGAAAGUCUAAAGAUAUUGGUGGGAGCUUCAAGAAAAGUUAUCUUUUAUGUUUAAAACCCUUCCCACCCUUGAAUCGGCUCAGCUGGAGGUAGGGUCCAGCGGCUGAAGAGUACCGCACGUCAUGUGGUGUCUGGUGUGCUCUCGGUAGCCCUUGAAAAUCUGGAGGACGGAAUGUUAUCCACGCCCGAUCGUAUGGGACAUAGUAGGCAAGGGAAAUCGGAAAAAUAGAUUCAUAACUUUGGGAAAAGGAUUGGCUCUGAGGGCUAGGCAAAACCCGCCGGCUAUCAGUGGACCACUCGAGCUGCUCCCAAGGCGAGAGCAGGAUCCGUGGACCAGCUGGGGGACAGACUGGGAAUGGUUCCUUCGGUGGCCUUCCCUACGUGUAGAUCAACAAACUCAGAACUGGUACGGAUAAGGGAAUCCGACUAUUUAAUCAAAACAUAGAAUUUCGAUGGUCCCAACGGAUGUUCAUGCAAUUUGAUUUCCGCCUAGUGCUCUAAAUGUCAAAGUGAAUAAAUUUAACAAAGCGCGGGUAAACGGCGGGAGUAACUAUGACUCUCUUAAUAUAUCCAAAUGCCUCAUCAUCUAUUUAGUGAUGCGCAUGAGUGGAUUAAUGAGAUUUCCAUUGUCCUUGUCUACUAUCCAACGAAACAACAACCAAGGGAAUUGGCUUGGCAGAAUCAGCAGGGAAAAAAGACCCUGUUGAGCUUGACUCUAGUCCUACUUUUUGAAAUGACUUGAGAGGUGUAGUAUAAGUGGGACCCAAAAGGUAAAAGUGAAAUACCACUACUUUUAAUGUUAUUUUACUUAUUUCGUGUAUUAGAAGAGGGGCACUACUCAUCUUUUUGGACCCAAGGCUCGCUCUGUAGGCUAAUCCGAGCAGAAUACAUUGUUAGUUAGGGAGUUUGGCUAGGGAAGCACAUCUAUUAAAAGAUAACGCAGGUGUCCUAAGAUGAACUCAAUGAGAACAGAAAUCUUGUGUGGAAAAGAAGGGUAAAAGCUUGUUUUAUUCUAAUUUCCAGUACGAAUACAAACCAUGAAAGCGUGGACUAACUAUUAUUUAGAUCUUUGGAAUUCGAAGAUAGAGGUGUCAGAAAAGUUACCACAAGGAUAACUAGCUUGUGGUAGCCAAGAGUUCAUAGCGACGUUGCUUUUUUAUACUUCUAUGUCGGGUCUUCCUAUCAUUGUAAAGCUGAAUUCACCAAGUAUUGGAUUUUUCACCCACCAAUAGGGAACGUGAGUUUGGUUUAGACCAUCGUGAGAUAGUUUAGUUUUACCGUACUGAUAACAGUUCCGCAGUAUUACUUCAACCAAGUAUGAGAGGAACCAUUGAUUCACAUAAUUGGUUAUUGCGCUUAGUUUAAAAGCCAGUGGUGUGAAGCUACUGUCUGUUGGAUUAUAAAUGAAUGCCUAUAAGUAAGUUUCCAGGUUAUAAUUGAUGCAUGCGCCGGUGGUCUGCUUGGCAACCCGCAGUAGGGGCCACGGCCCCCAAGAGCAUCUUUGGCUAAGCCAAAACGGCAGAAGGUUUGUGGUGGCCGCCUUGAAGUACAAUCUCCAUCAAGCUGCAGGUAGAAUCCUUUGUAGAUGACUUAAAUACACGAUGGGGUAUUGUAAGUGGUGGAGUGUCCUUGCUUCCACGAUCCACUAAGAUUCAGCCCUUUGU